GUUACUCCGCGCUUUUAGAAUGUUUGGGUUUGGCUGGGCGCGGUGGCUCACGCUUGUAAUCCCAUCACUUUGGGUAGGCCGAGGCGGGUGGAUCACUUGAGGUCAGGAGUUCAAGACCAACCUGGCCAACAUGGGAAACGCCGUCUCUACUAAAAACUACAAAAAUUAGUCGGGCGUGGUGGCGGUCACCUGUAAUCCCAGCUACUCUACUCCGGAGGCUGAGGCAGGACAAUCCUGUGAACCCAGGAGGCAGAGGCUGCAGUGAGCCAAGAUCAUGCCACUGCACUCCAGCCUGGGCGACAGGGCAAGACCCUCAGAAAAACAAAAACAAAGUUUGGGUUUGUUAAUCUACACAUUCAUUAUCAUUAAAAUAUAUAUUUAUAUAUUAUGCACUCAUUCUGACUCACCUACUUUCCCACAGAGAUGUGGCAAAAACGUUUUUGAUGCGGUCUCAUAAAUUGAGGACAUAAAGAAUUGAGUUAAGCUAAACCCAAAAACACAGCCAUUGCAAAGAAGGAACACGUUUCUUCUCUGGCCAGUCCGCAUCCUCAAGAGGCCCACCAGCAACGGUGUGGUCAGCAGCCCCAAGUCCGCUAGCAGGCCCGCCCUUCCAGUCAAGUCCCUGGCACAGUGGGAGGCCGAGUACACCGAGGCCAGGAAGCGGAUCCUGGGCAGCGCCAACCCGAGGAGAAGCAGGAGAAACCCAUCCUCGACAGGCCUUCCUCUGAUCUUCUUCCCUUCGGGCCAACCAGGAUCUCCUAACCCGAAGACAGCAGACAGCCCAAUAAUGUGAUCAGAC
rnacentral:lncRNA from 1 species